UGCUCACUUCAGCAGCAUAAUACUAAAAUUGGAAUGAUACAGAGAAGACUAGUAUGGCCUCUAUGCAAGGUUGACUUGCAAAUUUGUGAAGCAUUCCAUAUUUUU